UAAAAAUAAUCUGUAUGUCAAGUCAAGCGGAGAAAAGUGCUACAGGUUUGGGGAAUCAAGUGAUCGCUUAAACCAGUGUUCCAAACCCCGUCAUGAUAGGGAGCAACGCAGUGGCAAAGUGGCGUAUGCAAAUCAAGAGCAGGAGUCAGAUGAUCCAUCGGAGGAGUAGUAGUGGGAUAAUUCAGAUUUAGAAGACGUUGAGUUAGCUUAUGAAGAAAGGAAC
rnacentral:lncRNA from 1 species